rnacentral:lncRNA from 1 species
ACAGUGAAAUGCUCUGAGUCACCUCCCGCCGUCCUCACCUGGGUUUUCGCUCCAUCAUAAAUAUCCUUAAUUACUCUGGUAUAUGCCAGCGGUACUCCACUCACCUCCAAGCAUCUCCAAAGCACCUCCCUGGGGACUUUGUCGUAUGCCUUCUCCAGGUCGAUAAACACCAUGUGUAGAUCCUUCUUCCUCUCCCUAUACAGCUCCACCAACCUCCGCACCAGGUGGAUUGCCUCCGUCGUCGAGCGGCCGGGCAUAGCACAAAAUUUAAGGAAAUAAAAAAACACAUAAAAAGAAAACUAAACAACUCUUUAAG